AUGCCUACUUUUUUUGAAACAUUUCCGGUUGUUUUGGUACAUGAGGAGGGAAUUGUUAGAGCAGACGUUCCUUUUAGAAGAGCAGAAUCCAAAUAUAGUGUUGAACAAGUAGGUGUAACGGUGGAGUUCUAUGGUGGCGAACUUAAUGGAGUAAGUUAUUCUGAUCCUGCUACUAUAAAAAAUAUGCGAGGCGUUCUCAAUUAG
rnacentral:rRNA from 1 species